rnacentral:rRNA from 1 species
CGGGGGCUUGCUCCUGGUGGCGAGUGGCGAACGGGUGAGUAAUGCGUCGGAACGUACCGAGUAAUGGGGGAUAACGCAGCGAAAGCUGUGCUAAUACCGCAUACGCCCUGAGGGGGAAAGCAGGGGAUCGCAAGACCUUGCGUUAUUCGAGCGGCCGACGUCUGAUUAGCUAGUUGGUGGGGUAAAGGCCUACCAAGGCGACGAUCAGUAGCGGGUCUGAGAGGAUGAUCCGCCACACUGGAACUGAGACACGGUCCAGACUCCUACGGGAGGCAGCAGUGGGGAAUUUUGGACAAUGGGGGAAACCCUGAUCCAGCCAUUCCGCGUGAGUGAAGAAGGCCUUCGGGUUGUAAAGCUCUUUCAGCUGGAAAGAAACGGUGCGCUCUAACAUAGCGUGCUAAUGACGGUACCAGCAGAAGAAGCACCGGCUAACUACGUGCCAGCAGCCGCGGUAAUACGUAGGGUGCGAGCGUUAAUCGGAAUUACUGGGCGUAAAGCGUGCGCAGGCGGAUUGUUAAGCAAGAUGUGAAAUCCCCGGGCUUAACCUGGGAAUGGCAUUUUGAACUGGCAGUCUAGAGUGUGUCAGAGGGGGGUGGAAUUCCACGUGUAGCAGUGAAAUGCGUAGAUAUGUGGAGGAACACCAAUGGCGAAGGCAGCCCCCUGGGAUAACACUGACGCUCAUGUACGAAAGCGUGGGUAGCAAACAGGAUUAGAUACCCUGGUAGUCCACGCCCUAAACGAUGUCAACUGGUUGUUGGGGGAGUGAAAUCCCUUAGUAACGAAGCUAACGCGUGAAGUUG